rnacentral:rRNA from 1 species
GACGAACGCUGGCGGCGUGCUUAACACAUGCAAGUCGAACGGAAAGGCCCUGCUUUUGUGGGGUGCUCGAGUGGCGAACGGGUGAGUAACACGUGAGUAACCUGCCCUAGUCUUUGGGAUAACUUCAGGAAAGUGGGGCUAAUACCGGAUCGGAGCUCCUGCUGCAUGGUGGGGGUUGGAAAGUUUCGGCGGUUGGGGAUGGACUCGCGGCUUAUCAGCUUGUUGGUGGGGUAGUGGCUUACCCAGGCUUUGACGGGUAGGCGGCCUGAGAGGGUGACCGGCCACAUUGGGACUGAGAUACGGCGCAGACUCCUACGGGAGGCAGCAGUGGGGAAUAUUGCACAAUGGGCGGAAGCCUGAUGCAGCAACGCCGCGUGCGGGAUGACGGCCUGCGGGUAGUAAACCGCUUUCGCUUGUGACGAAGCGGGAGUGACGGUAAUGGGUAAAGAAGCACCGGCUAACUACGUG